GGUCCAAUUGCGGAGUGGCCCGCACCUGCAUCUUAUAUUCAGUAGUGCCUCCCAGGCAUGCAGGGGACGCCAGUUCGAUUCGGGCUUGGACCA